rnacentral:rRNA from 1 species
GAGUUUGAUCCUGGCUCAGGAUGAACGCUGGCGGCGUGCCUAAUACAUGCAAGUCGAGCGAACGGACGAGAAGCUUGCUUCUCUGAUGUUAGCGGCGGACGGGUGAGUAACACGUGGAUAACCUACCUAUAAGACUGGGAUAACUUCGGGAAACCGGAGCUAAUACCGGAUAAUAUUUUGAACCGCAUGGUUCAAAAGUGAAAGACGGUCUUGCUGUCACUUAUAGAUGGAUCCGCGCUGCAUUAGCUAGUUGGUAAGGUAACGGCUUACCAAGGCAACGAUGCAUAGCCGACCUGAGAGGGUGAUCGGCCACACUGGAACUGAGACACGGUCCAGACUCCUACGGGAGGCAGCAGUAGGGAAUCUUCCGCAAUGGGCGAAAGCCUGACGGAGCAACGCCGCGUGAGUGAUGAAGGUCUUCGGAUCGUAAAACUCUGUUAUUAGGGAAGAACAUAUGUGUAAGUAACUGUGCACAUCUUGACGGUACCUAAUCAGAAAGCCACGGCUAACUACGU